UAUCAUAUUGAAACACCGGUUCUCGUACGAUCACCGAAGUUAAGCAACGUUGAGUCUGGUCAGUGCCUAGUCGGGUAACCGCUUAGGAAUGCCUGGUGCUGUAA